CGUGAGGCUGAGGAAAGAGAAUCACUGUAAACCAGAAGGUGGAGGUUGCAGUGAGCGGAAAUCGUACUCCAGCCUGCGUGAUGGGAGCGAGACUCCAUCUCAAAGGGAAAAAAUGGUGGGGGGUGGAUUGCCAGAUGCGUCCCGCUACAUAGUUCUGUUUACCUUCAGAAAUCUAAGUGAAAAUUAGGUGACUAGAGAAAAGGCAGCCUUUUUUAGAUCUUUAAAUAGUGUACUGUCAGAAAUUCUACAGACUAUAAAAUCUGAAUUGGUAAUGAGCCCUUCAGCAUUAAUACAUAGCUAUUAUAGAAUAUUAUAAAACUGUUACCAAAGUUUGCCCACACUCCCUGACUUUUUAAUGAGUAUACCUGAAAAAAGAAAUAAAGAUGACGAAUGUGCUAGGUUAUUUUUCUGCAAGCAUAUUGGUGGGGUAAGACUGUGGUGAUGGCUCCACAUAUAGAAUUUCUAUACAUUUCAAAAGGAUCUCCUCUUGAUUGCAAUUGCAGAAACAGCAACCUUUGGCAUUUAAUUCAUGAAGAUGAGAAAAGAAUAAUUGCUUCUUCAAAGUAUUCUUUAAAGUGUUAUAACAUAAAUGUUGGGGUAGAAUCCCUUCUUUACUUUGGAGUUCAAUUUAAUGUUUUUUAUUAUCUUUUAUUACUGAACAUCAACAAAAAAUGAGCCAUAUUUUUCUCCUGCUGAACACCACUAAUAUUCUGCACAAGAUAAAACAGAGUGAUGCGUUCCUUUUGUGUGUGUCCAGUAAAAAAUGAAUUAAAGCAGUAAAUAUUUAUUUUAUGGUCACCAUAUGUAAGACACUAUCAACCAUGAAGAUGACCUCAAGGAACUCACAGUGGAGGAGAAAUGUAUACAUAGAUGCUGUAUUACAAGGCGGAAGACAUGGAGCUCAUUAUAAAAGGAAUCACUGGAGUGCUUUCAGCAUAGAAGAGAAGCAGACUAAGUUACUGAUUUACUCGGAACACAGUGUAUGAUAAAAUUAUUUUCAAAGGGUAGGCAUCCAUUUAUUUAAAUAGGUGGUUGCUUUCUUUUUUCUUUUUUUUUUUUUAGAGG